CGGCAGCAGCAAAGUGUGUGAAAAUUAUGUCUGUGUGUGACUGCUUACAACGUGAGUGCGUGAUCCUCCUCACAGUCAGACUGGCGAGCGUCACAGAGGCGAGGAACGUGUGUGUGCUCCUGUGCACUACUGUGAAAGGUGCUAACAGGCCGAGCCUUUGAAAGGUGCGCCCAGAAACAGCCCCCUCCACCUGGCACAACAGUGCCGACAGGGUCCCUCGGUGGUCGUAGAGGACCACAAUUACAUCUGCCUUGACGCCGCUCAGCACCAGCUACAUGCCACACAGGCAGAAAGCAAUGGUGGCAGUCUCUCCUCUUCUUCUUCUACCUCUUCACAUGGUUGGUUAAAUGUCCGGUACUGGUGUGCUGCCUCACGAGGAGUCAGCCAGUCCAGUGUGUUGAGACAAGAGAUGAAGUGGUUCUUCCAAGCGCCAAACUCUUUUUCUCCGGGUGUGUAGGGAAGAAACCAACCUUGUCGUAUGCAGCGCCUCGCCCACAGACAGUCCUGAGAUAGAACCCUCCAGUGCCAACUGACUUGGGCGGCAGAGCAAAGGUCCAGAGGGGGCAGGAAGGACAUGAUGUAAAGUGACAGGAAACGGGGUAGCAUCGCUGUGAAAUCCGCUUGGGUCAACGGAAGUUUUUCAGUCAGCAGAUCUCUACAGUACCUGCUCGGGUGAUUGACAUAUUUUGUUGGAUGGAGGUCUGAUGUGCGCAUUUUACAGGAGAGAA